rnacentral:rRNA from 1 species
UAGGGAAUCUUCGGCAAUGGGGGCAACCCUGACCGAGCAACGCCGCGUGAGUGAAGAAGGUUUUCGGAUCGUAAAGCUCUGUUGUAAGUCAAGAACGGGUGUGAGAGUGGAAAGUUCACACUGUGACGGUAGCUUACCAGAAAGGGACGGCUAACUACGUGCCAGCAGCCGCGGUAAUACGUAGGUCCCGAGCGUUGUCCGGAUUUAUUGGGCGUAAAGCGAGCGCAGGCGGUUUGAUAAGUCUGAAGUUAAAGGCUGUGGCUCAACCAUAGUUCGCUUUGGAAACUGUCAAACUUGAGUGCAGAAGGGGAGAGUGGAAUUCCAUGUGUAGCGGUGAAAUGCGUAGAUAUAUGGAGGAACACCGGUGGCGAAAGCGGCUCUCUGGUCUGUAACUGACGCUGAGGCUCGAAAGCGU